AGUGAACGCUGGCGGUAGGCCUAACACAUGCCAGUCGAACGGCAGCACAGUAAGAGCUUGCUCUUACGGGUGGCGAGUGGCGGACGGGUGAGGAAUACAUCGGAAUCUACUUUUUCGUGGGGGAUAACGUAGGGAAACUUACGCUAAUACCGCAUACGACCUACGGGUGAAAGCAGGGGAUCUUCGGACCUUGCGCGAUUGAAUGAGCCGAUGUCGGAUUAGCUAGUUGGCGGGGUAAAGGCCCACCAAGGCGACGAUCCGUAGCUGGUCUGAGAGGAUGAUCAGCCACACUGGAACUGAGACACGGCCCAGACUCCUACGGGAGGCAGCAGUGGGGAAUAUUGGACAAUGGGCGCAAGCCUGAUCCAGCCAUACCGCGUGGGUGAAGAAGGCCUUCGGGUUGUAAAGUCCUUUUGUUGGGAAAGAAAAGCAGCAGGUUAAUACCCCGCUGUUCUGACGGUACCCAAAGAAUAAGCACCGGCUAACUUCGUG
rnacentral:rRNA from 1 species